rnacentral:piRNA from 1 species
UGUCAAGAAUUAUAAAAUUCCACCCAAGGU